CACGUAGGGGGCAAGCGUUGUCCGGAAUUAUUGGGCGUAAAGAGCUCGUAGGCGGCUCGGUAAGUCAGGUGUCAAAUCCUCAGGCUCAACCUGGGGCUCCACCUGAUACUGCUGUGGCUAGAGUCCGGUAGGGGAGCGUGGAAUUCCUGGUGGAGCGGUGAAAUGCGCAGAUAUCAGGAGGAACACCCGUAGCGAAGGCGGCACUCUGGGCCGAUACUGACACUGAGGGGCGAAAGCGUGGGGAGCGAACAGG
rnacentral:rRNA from 1 species